rnacentral:rRNA from 1 species
GACGAACGCUGGCGGCGUGCUUAACACAUGCAAGUCGAACGGAAAGACCCUGAUUUUGUGGGGUGCUCGAGUGGCGAACGGGUGAGUGACACGUGAGUAACCUGCCCUUGACUUUGGGGUAAAUUCAGGAAACUGGGGCUAAUACCGGGUAGGAUAUCCUGCUGCAUGGGGGGGGUUGGAGAGUUUCGGCGGUUGGGGCUGGUAUCGCGGCUUAUCCGCUUGUUUGUGGGGUUGGGGCUUACAAGGGCUUUGACGGGUAGCCGGCCUGAGCGCGUUGACGGCGACAAGGGUACUGAGAUACGGACCAGACGCGUACGGGACGCAGCAGGCGGGAGUAUGGCACAAUGAGCGGACGUCAGAUGUAGCAACGCUGCGUGCGGGAUGACGGCUUUCGGGUUGUAAACCGCUUUCGCCUGUGACGAAGCGUGAGUGACGGUAAUGGGUCAAGAAGCACCGGCUAACUACGUG